AUUGAACGCUGGCGGCAGGCCUAACACAUGCAAGUCGAGCGGUAACAGAAAGUAGCUUGCUACUUUGCUGACGAGCGGCGGACGGGUGAGUAAUGCUUGGGAACAUGCCUUGAGGUGGGGGACAACAGUUGGAAACGACUGCUAAUACCGCAUAAUGUCUACGGACCAAAGGGGGCUUCGGCUCUCGCCUUUAGAUUGGCCCAAGUGGGAUUAGCUAGUUGGUGAGGUAAUGGCUCACCAAGGCGACGAUCCCUAGCUGGUUUGAGAGGAUGAUCAGCCACACUGGGACUGAGACACGGCCCAGACUCCUACGGGAGGCAGCAGUGGGGAAUAUUGCACAAUGGGCGCAAGCCUGAUGCAGCCAUGCCGCGUGUGUGAAGAAGGCCUUCGGGUUGUAAAGCACUUUCAGUCAGGAGGAAAGGUUAGUAGUUAAUACCUACUAGCUGUGACGUUACUGACAGAAGAAGCACCGGCUAACUCCGUGCCAGCAGCCGCGGUAAUACGGAGGGUGCGAGCGUUAAUCGGAAUUACUGGGCGUAAAGCGUACGCAGGCGGUUUGUUAAGCGAGAUGUGAAAGCCCCGGGCUCAACCUGGGAACUGCAUUUCGAACUGGCAAACUAGAGUGUGAUAGAGGGUGGUAGAAUUUCAGGUGUAGCGGUGAAAUGCGUAGAGAUCUGAAGGAAUACCGAUGGCGAAGGCAGCCACCUGGGUCAACACUGACGCUCAUGUACGAAAGCGUGGGGAGCAAACGGGAUUAGAUACCCCGGUAGUCCACGCCGUAAACGAUGUCUACUAGAAGCUCGGAGCCUCGGUUCUGUUUUUCAAAGCUAACGCAUUAAGUAGAC
rnacentral:rRNA from 1 species